UCCCACCUCUUCAUCAAAAGAUUUCCUGAUGAGUCGGUACAGAAAUCGAUAAUCUUUGCCAUCGCCAGGGUUACGAGAAACCGCCUUAGACCUAAGGUGAUAGACGAGGAGCUUAUUCGAAAAUAUAUUGAAAACACGAAGAAGCGGAAGAAGCCGGAAUUCGAGAUGAUGUCGGAGGAUGAGGAGGAGGAGGAGGAGACGCUGUUGGAGGAGGGGGAAGAAGAACCGACAGAAGAAGACAGGAAGUUGUGGUUGGUACUUUGCAGGAGACUGGGAUUCAGAAUGAAACGAGGAGAAGAUGUCAAGAUGCUCAGGCUGAUGAUUCCUUUCUUAGCCCAAUGUUCUGGACUUUAUCCACCAAAAGGAUCCACAAGACGUGGGGAUGUUGCUAAGAUAUAUCGAUAUGUAUUGCCUUCGCGAUCUGAACGACGUGGGGAUGUUGCUCGACCUCAUUGAGGCUCUCAAGUCACGUCGGGCAAAUCCAGAAAAUAAGUUAAAGCAAAAUAUCGUACCAACUAAAGAAGAAGGGAUUGCUGCCCCCAUGUACCUCUUAAAACUAGAAUAGAAAAGAGAACAUGGAGAUAUGGAACUCGACGAAUCCAGAGAAUGAAAGAAAAUAUGUGGAAUGUUAAUUUCUGCCUCACACAGCCAAUCUGAAAAUUGUGAGUGUGACAAGGUGGGGAGCUAAGAGAGAGAUUGAUCACCAAUGAGAUCUUGUUAGUUUAUGGUUCAGACGUGUUUUGGUUGUUAUGAGAAUAAGUAGUACUGUACUUGCAUUAAUGAUAUGUUGGAAUGGAACGCUUAGUUAGAUAAUGGGUGCACCUUUUGUCCCUUUCUAUUUGGAAUAUAACUAGUGAAUUCUUGUGUUGUUUCGAGGAUUAUAUAGUGUUUUCUUAAUAAGCUGCUACCUUUCAGUGAA